GUGGCCAAGUUUUUAAGGGCGCACGGUGGAUGCCUUGGCACCAGGAACCGAUGAAGGACGUGGGAGGCCACGAUAGGCCCCGGGGAGCUGUCAACCAAGCUUUGAUCCGGGGGUGUCCGAAUGGGGAAACCCGGCAGUCGUCAUGGGCUGUCACCCGCUGCUGAACACAUAGGCAGUGUGGAGGGAACGAGGGGAAGUGAAACAUCUCAGUACCCUCAGGAAGAGAAAACAACCGUGAUUCCGGGAGUAGUGGCGAGCGAAACUGGAUCAGGCCAAACCGUAUGCGUGUGAUACCCGGCAGGGGUUGCGCAUGCGGGGUUGUGGGAUCUCUUUUUCACGGUCUGCCGGCUGUGAGACGAGUCAGAAACCGUUGAUGUAGGCGAAGGACAUGCGAAAGGUCCGGCGUAGAGGGUAAGACCCCCGUAGCUGAAACAUUAACGGCUCGUUUAAGAGACACCCAAGUAGCACGGGGCCCGAGAAAUCCCGUGUGAAUCUGGCGGGACCACCCGUUAAGCCUAAAUAUUCCCUGGUGACCGAUAGCGGAUAGUACCGUGAGGGAAUGGUGAAAAGUACCGCGGGAGCGGAGUGAAAUAGUACCUGAAACCGUGUGCCUACAAGCCGUGGGAGCGUCGCGCGCCGAGUUUACUCGGUGCGUCGUGACUGCGUGCCUUUUGAAGAAUGAGCCUGCGAGUUUGCGGUGUGUUGCGAGGUUAACCCGUGUGGGGAAGCCGUAGCGAAAGCGAGUCCGAAUAGGGCGAUUUAGUAGCGCGCUCAAGACCCGAAGCGGAGUGAUCUAGCCAUGGGCAGGUUGAAGCGGAGGUAAGACUUCGUGGAGGACCGAACCCACCAGGGUUGAAAACCUGGGGGAUGACCUGUGGUUAGGGGUGAAAGGCCAAUCAAACUCCGUGAUAGCUGGUUCUCCCCGAAAUGCAUUUAGGUGCAGCGUCGUGUGUUUCUUGCCGGAGGUAGAGCACUGGAUAGGCGAUGGGCCCUACCGGGUUACUGACCUUAGCCAAACUCCGAAUGCCGGUAAGUGAGAGCACGGCAGUGAGACUGUGGGGGAUAAGCUCCAUGGUCGAGAGGGAAACAGCCCAGAGCAUCGACUAAGGCCCCUAAGCGUACGCUAAGUGGGAAAGGAUGUGGAGUCGCAGAGACAACCAGGAGGUUGGCUUAGAAGCAGCCACCCUUGAAAGAGUGCGUAAUAGCUCACUGGUCAAGUGAUUCCGCGCCGACAAUGUAGCGGGGCUCAAGCGUACCGCCGAAGUCGUGUCAUUCCAGCACAUACCCCCAACGGGGGCUGGGAUGGGUAGGGGAGCGUCGUGUGCCGGGUGAAGCAGCCGCGGAAGCGAGUUGUGGACGGUUCACGAGUGAGAAUGCAGGCAUGAGUAGCGAUACACACGUGAGAAACGUGUGCGCCGAUUGACUAAGGGUUCCUGGGUCAAGCUGAUCUGCCCAGGGUAAGUCGGGACCUAAGGCGAGGCCGACAGGCGUAGUCGAUGGACAACCGGUUGAUAUUCCGGUACCCGCUUUGAAACGCCCAAUACUGAAUCAGGCGAUGCUAAGUCCGUGAAGCCGGCCCGAUCUCUUCGGAGUUGAGGGUAGUGGUGGAGCCGACGAACCAGACUUGUAUUAGGUAAGCGAUGGGGUGACGCAGGAAGGUAGUCCAACCCGGGCGGUGGUAGUUCCCGGGGUAAGGGUGUAGGCCGUGUGGUAGGUAAAUCCGUCACACAUUAAGGCUGAGAACCUGAUGCCGAGCCGAUUGUGGUGAAGUGGAUGAUCCUAUGCUGUCGAGAAAAGCCUCUAGCGAGUUUCAUGGCGGCCCGUACCCUAAACCGACUCAGGUGGUCAGGUAGAGAAUACCGAG
rnacentral:rRNA from 1 species